AAAUGCUGUGAUUCAUGUGACGGUGCAUGUGUUUGUUUGUUUUAUUGAUCGAGUACCUGACUGCGGGGGUCGAGGUUCAGAAGCCUCCAGGACUUGUACAUAAGAUCAGAGAAGUGGUACAGCACUCUGAGACGGGUGUUAAGCACUUCAGGGCUGAAGUCUUUGAGGGCAUUAUACUGCGGAGGCACAGAUUGAGAUGACUGUACCUGGGCCUCACAGUUGCAGCCCCAUGCAUACACGUCUCCGGUGUUGGAUAAAGCAAGGAUGUGCUCGCAGCCAACAGCGAUGUCCUCAAUGAAGAUGCCCUCCAAUGCUGGAAUGAUCUGUGGCCGGUUGUGAUUCUUCAGCAUGGAAUCCGGCAGACCUAUCAGACGCUCUGUAAAUACAUACACGCAUAUAAGGGCUGUCUCAACAUCACAAAGAGCCUCGAUCUGUUUGGGUCGCCUUUGCCUUUCACUGUUCCCAUGGCCAAGUUUCCCAUAAUCCCCAUCACCCCAACUAAACACCUCUCCAGUUUCGGUGAGAGCCAAUGAGUGGCCAUCAGACCCAUAUG